GCUGCAUUGAACUCUGGAUUAUUGAACUGCAAUUGUGAAUCUGUCCUGCGUUUUGAUUGUUUUGUGAAAUAUUCUUGUUUUCUGCAGUUACAUAAAAGAUUCGAUAUAUUGUUGACCUUGGCCAAAAACAGUCGAAAACCUCUCUCUCUAUCUCAACUCAAUCUAUCUGUAUUCGUCAUUUGUUUCCGUAAUCUAUUCGGCUCCAUCUGACAUCUCGAUUAUAUAUUUUAUGCUGAG